UACGGGGGGGCAAGCGUUGUUCGGAAUUACUGGGCGUAAAGGGCUGGUAGGCGGCCAACUAAGUCGGAUGUGAAAUCCCCAGGCUUAACCUGGGAACUGCAUCCGAUACUGGUCGGCUUGAAUCCGGGAGAGGGAUGCAGAAUUCCAGGUGUAGCGGUGAAAUGCGUAGAUAUCUGGAGGAACACCGGUGGCGAAGGCGGCAUCCUGGACCAACACUGACGCUGAGUGAGCGAAAGCCAGGGGAGCAAACGGG
rnacentral:rRNA from 1 species